GAGGAAUAUUGGUCAAUGGGCGAGAGCCUGAACCAGCCAAGUCGCGUGAAGGAUGACUGUCUUAUGGAUUGUAAACUUCUUUUAUACGGGAAUAACAAGAGCCACGUGUGGCUCCCUGCAUGUACCGUAUGAAUAAGCAUCGGCUAACUCCGUGCCAGCAGCCGCGGUAAUACGGAGGAUGCGAGCGUUAUCCGGAUUUAUUGGGUUUAAAGGGUGCGUAGGCGGCCUGUUAAGUCAGCGGUGAAAUCUAGGAGCUUAACUCCUAAAUUGCCAUUGAUACUGGCGGGCUUGAGUGUAGAUGAGGUAGGCGGGAUGCGUGGUGUAGCGGUGGAAUGCAUAGAUAUCACGCAGAACUCCGAUUGCGAAGGCAGCUUACUAAGGUACAACUGACGCUGAAGCACGAAAGCGUGGGUAUCAAACAGGAUUAGAUACCCUGGUAGUCCACGCAGUAAACGAUGAUAACUGGGCGUAUGCGAUAUACAGUAUGCUCCUAAGCGAAAGCGUUAAGUUAUCCACCUGGGGAGUACGCCGGCAACGGUG
rnacentral:rRNA from 1 species